CCUACGGGAGGCAGCAGUGGGGAAUUUUGGACAAUGGGCGCAAGCCUGAUCCAGCCAUGCCGCGUGUGGGAAGAAGGCCUUCGGGUUGUAAACCACUUUUGUCAGGGAAGAAACGGUCUGAACUAAUACUUUGGACUAAUGACGGUACCUGAAGAAUAAGCACCGGCUAACUACGUGCCAGCAGCCGCGGUAAUACGUAGGGUGCAAGCGUUAAUCGGAAUUACUGGGCGUAAAGCGUGCGCAGGCGGCUUUGCAAGACAGAUGUGAAAUCCCCGGGCUCAACCUGGGAACUGCAUUUGUGACUGCAUGGCUAGAGUACGGUAGAGGGGGAUGGAAUUCCGCGUGUAGCAGUGAAAUGCGUAGAUAUGCGGAGGAACACCGAUGGCGAAGGCAAUCCCCUGGACCUGUACUGACGCUCAUGCACGAAAGCGUGGGGAGCAAACAGGAUUAGAUACCCUGGUAGUCCACGCCCUAAACGAUGUCAACUGGUUGUUGGGAGGGUUUCUUCUCAGUAACGAAGCUAACGCGUGAAGUUGACCGCCUGGGGAGUACGGCCGCAAGGUUGAAACUUAAAAUAGAAUUGACGG
rnacentral:rRNA from 1 species